UACGUAGGGUGCAAGCGUUGUCCGGAAUUAUUGGGCGUAAAGAGCUCGUAGGCGGUUUGUUGCGUCGGCUGUGAAAUCCCGAGGCUCAACCUCGGGUCUGCAGUCGAUACGAGCAAACUAGAGUGUUGCAGGGGGAGACUGGAAUUCCUGGUGUAGCGGUGAAAUGCGCAGAUAUCAGGAGGAACACCGGUGGCGAAGGCGGGUCUCUGGGCAACAACUGACGCUGAGGAGCGAAAGUGUGGGGGAGCGAAACAGG
rnacentral:rRNA from 1 species